rnacentral:rRNA from 1 species
UACGUAGGGGGCAAGCGUUGUCCGGAAUCAUUGGGCGUAAAGCGCGUGUAGGCGGUCCGGUAAGUCGGCUGUGAAAGUCCAGGGCUCAACCGUGGAGGGUCAUUGGAAACUGGGGGACUUGAGUGCAGGAGAGAAAAGUGGAAUUCCACGUGUAGCGGUGAAAUGCGUAGAGAUGUGGAGGAACACCAGUGGCGAAGGCGACUUUUUGGCCUGUAACUGACGCUGAGGCGCGAAAGCGUGGGGAGCAAACAGG